rnacentral:lncRNA from 1 species
UGACAGUGUUGUAAGAUUCAGUUGCCUCUCCAAAAAGAUGGAGAGAGAGUAUUGUAAAAUUGUUCCAGGAGCUGCCAACACAGGAUCAAUAUUUAGUCCUAAAGUUGAAAAGUACUUACAAAUGCUUCUGUGAUGGAAAGGAUUAUCAUUGGCUAAUUAACCUCCAAACUAUUUAACAAGGCAGCAGUAUGGGUGCAGAGGUAGUGGGAGCAGUGGUGAACAGAAAGGCAGAUUCCAGUAUUUGGGGUAGGAUUAUGUCUUGAAUUAGUCUCCUGCUGUAUCUGUUAUGGCACCCCGGUGGUUAAUAGGAGCCCUCUUUGUCCAGGAGUUGCUGUGGAGACGGUUCCUGUACCGCAGGAAGCAGGGAGAAGAGAAGUUUCCUGUUUUUGAAGAAGGUUUAAGAAUGAUUUUCCUCCAAUCAGGCAGCAGAUGCCUGGGCAGGAAAUGGAGAACGCAGCUGCCAGCCUGCUCUGGAUGAAAUUUAGUGUGUUUGCUGACCUCCAGGAGUGAAAUUCAACUCUGGUCCCAAUGAAGCUAGAACUCCUGUUGACAUUGUGCCAAGACAGCCUUUUUGAUUCAAUGCCCAAUUUUCUUUCAUUGACACCGGUUUUACACCCACAUGUUUGACCCCCAGUGGCACUGCUCCUGACUUAACCUUCAGGUUUACUUCGACUGAUGCCUGAAGCAGCCAUCUGCAGUCCUUCCUCUCCCAGUCCAUGGUUUGGUUCUCUGCGAAGUUACUUCCUCCAGUGCUUUAUGUAACAGCAUUUGGGAGGGGGUGAAAGGUUGGAGGAAAACAAGGCUGACUGCAGUAGGUAAAUCCAUGCAAGUGUAUUUUUAGCUACUGUUCUACUUGUUGUCUGCAGAGCUCAUGAGCUCUACUGACAUAUUGCAAAUAUGGGCACUGCAUGCUUUUGGAGUGCAAAAUAAUCAUGUCCCACUGAGUAAGGAUAAAUGUGUUUCUGGACAUGUCAAGACAUGAGUUACUCAAGCUAAGUUAAGUCAAAGAAAGCUUUGGUUGGGUAAGACAUGAAUCAAAACAGAGCAAGGAUUUGAGAACUAGGCAUCUGGGCAGUUGAGAAGGAAAAAAAUCUCUAUGACAUCGAGGAAUGGAUGGACCCAGCUGUGGCAUUUUGUAAGCUCUUAGAUUUUUUACCAUUACCUACAAAUAUUACUUUUUUACCAAAACACUAAGCAACAGAAAUUUUAGAAACUUGGUAUAUAACAGGAACCCUGAUGACACCAUGAACCUUAGUGGAAGCACAUAAACCUACCUGAGAGGACUGGUGUUCUCCCUAGGGGCCCUUNNNNNNNNNNUUCUGAAAAAAAAAAAAAAAAAAAAAAAAAAAAAAAAAAAAAAAAAAAAAAAAAAAAAAAAGUGAAAGAAUCAAAUGUUCAUUUGCUUAAGAUAGAGUCAAAGACAUAUUUAGAUAAUUUCACAGCUUUAUUCCUCUCUCUCUCAUUCAUGGGAGACUUUC